GUGGAUGUGGUGUAAUGGUAACAUAAGAGCCUGUGGAGCUCUGGACGCGGGUUCGAUUCCCGCCAUCUGCC
rnacentral:tRNA from 1 species